CCAGAGUUCAUAAAUCCAAGCGCAGAGGGACCCUUGAUUCCUUGAAAUUAUCAGGAGGUUUUUGGGGGGGAUAGAUAGAGGUGGGGAGUGGAGGUUGGUGGGGGGGAGUGAGGGAUUUGGUUGAAGGAGGUAGGAGGAUAGAUAAAGCUUUGCCCCAUUCCUCUUCCUCCUCCUCUACCUCCUCCACCUCCACGUGCCCGCUACAGCAGAUGGUGCCGUGUGGCUCUGCCAUGCCACCGUGGCCGCCUUCUGCGGAUGGUCGCCAUAAGGAGGCAGGUUAGUUGGAGAUUUGGAGUGACAGUGUUUGGCAGGGGCUACAAAGAGAAGAUGUGAGGAGGGGGAGAAGGCGCUUGGUGCCGCGGGCUAACACGGAGGUAAGCUGCUGUUAUGUUGCUGUCUCUGUGAUUUAGUGACCAUGUGGUAGCAGAGGAAGCAGAGGUAGGAAGUUGGAGGCAAAGGUAGCUUCAGGUUCAUGGUGGACACCAAUCAAACUGUUCAAGUUUUAUGAUCAAUACUGGCGGUGGUUAUGUCAUUAAGUAUCACACCUCAAAAAUCCUGAGUUGAGUUUUUUUUUAAGCAGUAACAUAAAAAAUAUUUUAGAGCUGACGAUAUAAACAAACCAGACCAUUACAAUAGAAAUGACCUUUUUUCUUAUAUCAUAAUUCCUGUCAGCGCUGAACUACGAUUUAUCGCUGAGACGAUUUUUCUUUACAUUUUCCUUGAAAUCACAGAGAGUGAUGGUCAGAAGACAAGGUAAGGAAGUUGUGACAAAAUAUCACCAAACUACUUGCACAUGUACAACACAGGACCAAUAAAGAGAUGACAUGAACCAUUUUGUCCACAGGGGUCACACAUUGCGACAAAACACUUAAAGCUUCUGUGAAGAUCUUUCGGUUUGUCAUUUUGGUGCCUCCUGUGGACAAAGUUGUCUUUGCUUAUCUUGUUCUCCACAUGCUUGAUUUGGGUUUUUAACCACAGUAUUAAGAAAUACUAUAUAAAAUUAUCAAUAAUGCCACUGAUGGUCUUUAUGGUUUAAACAUUAUAAAAAGGCAUCAAUAUGAAUCUUAGUCUCUUUCAUAGAUUAAAAAAAAAAACUCCUUAGGGGAGCUUUAAGUUCUUUAUAAUGUUUAGAUAAUGCUUACUAAUAACAGGUAUUGUUCAUCUUGAACUGUUCGAUUGCGACUUAUCUAAUUUUAAAAAGGCAAUAUCUUGAUACUUUUGUUUUAUAAUUAAUGAUACCCUUUUUGUAGUUACCAACGGAUUUAACAGUAUAUUACAAACAUUUUGACAUCUUUCAUUUGAAAUGAGCUUUGAGGCUUUUCAAACCAAAACAAAACAAAAAAACCCUAGAAUUUAUAAUUUUUUAUUUUUUUUAAUAUGUCAGUUUUAUCCUCAGUAUUAUCCUCCUUUUUUCACCAAAAAAAGCACUAAUAGCUGGAAGGAAGCGUAAGGACACCAUAUAGGGGACAGGAAACAACAUGGGAGCCCAGUGAGCACUAACACUAAAUUUCAAUAUCAUAAUUGGGUUGAAAACAAAAAAGAGUCGGGAAGUCUGAAACAUAAUUUCAACAUUUUUUAAAUGAGCCGUACAAUUCAGUUAUGACACCAAAGUUUGAAGGAAACAGGCUUACUUAUUUUCAGGGUGAAAGGAGGAUAAAAAUGAAUACUGUGACUGCCAAUUGAUAUACAUGAAUGAGAGUUUGUGUUCGGAAGAGUUUAUAUAUAAAAGUCUCCAAACAAUUGUAUUAGUGCAGGUUUUCUUGAUGUGACAUUAAAACAGAUCAUGUUGACAUAUGAAUUAUUUUCGCUUAAUUCUCGUUCUACUAACCCGGCCUUGAACACAUCAUCAUAAAAUCGUGUGUCACCUCAGUUAAAUGACUGAUUAGCUUUUAUUUCUCUGACUCUGACAUGUAUUUUUCAACAUUGGAUUUUGAUUUUUCAGCUGCAGGACGUGCUAAAGUCCGGGUGUGCUUACCCCUGCUGUUUCGGGUGGAAGAGAAGGAUGACAGCGCCGCAGCAGCAGCAGCUGGAGUUGAUGGAGUUGUUUCAAGGUUCAGACAGUUAUAGAUGCUGCAUUUUGGCUUGAUUUGAUUUCAAUGCCGCGGAGGUUGUGUUCCCCCUUUGCAUUAAAUGAUUUUAUUUGCCUUAUGACUAUCUAUAACUUUGGUAAAAGUAACUGCCCACCAGAAUUCUUCUUUAUGUAAUUUAGUACCUGUUUGCUCACAAGACUUGAUAGCAGAAUAACCUUUGGACUGGUCUUCAAUAUCUCUUCAGGCCAAAGUUAUUUUCAAUUCACCAAAAAAAUGACAUGUUAACCCUAAAACUCUCAUCACUCUGUCAUCAACAGGUGGUAGAUCACAUUUGAGAUCGCUUGUGAACCCAAACUGAAGGCUUUUCACCUCCUAAAGGCAGCUGUGUGCAUUUGCAAAGCUGUGAAAUAAAGCUCUAAAUAUGAAACAUGU
rnacentral:lncRNA from 1 species